rnacentral:lncRNA from 1 species
AUGUUUCAUUAUGUGAUAGUCAUAAUGAUUUCUCAUGCUUCCACAUUUUCAUCUCUUUUUUUUUCAUCUCCAGCAAAAGAGACCAUGGGGAGGGAAAAUCAAAGCAGUGUGUCUGAGUUCCUCCUCCUGGGGCUCCCCAUCCGGCCAGAGCAGCAGGGUGUGUUCUUUGCCCUGUUCCUGGGCAUGUACCUGAUCGCGGUGCUGGGCAACCUGCUCAUCCUCCUGGUCAUCAGGCUGGACCCUCACCUUCACACCCCCAUGUACUUCUUCCUCAGCCACUUGGCCUUCACUGACAUCACUUUUUCAUCAGUCACAACUCCAAAGAUGCUCAUGAAUAUGCAGACACAGAGUCAAUCCAUCUCGUAUGCUGGGUGCAUUUCCCAGGUGUAUUUUUUCUUAAUGCUUGGGUGUCUUGACAGCUUUCUUCUCACCUCAAUGGCCUACGACAGGUACGUGGCCAUCUGUCACCCCCUCCACUACAUCACAGUUAUGAGUCAGAGCCUGUGUUUCCUGUUAGUAAUUGUGUCCUGGGUCCUAUCCUCUGCUAGUGCCAUCUUACACACCCUCCUCCUGGCCCGUCUCUCUUUCUGUGGAGACAACCUUCUCCCUCACUCCUUCUGCGACCUUGCUACCUUACUUAAACUGUCAACCUCAGAUACCACAGUCAAUGAGCUGUUUAUCCUCACUGUGGGAGUGGCAGUCAUUACCCUCCCAUUUGCAUGCAUAUUGGUCUCUUAUGGUUGCAUUGGGGCCACCAUCCUUAGGGUCCCCUCUACCAAGGGACUCUACAAAGCCUUGUCUACAUGUGGGUCCCACCUCUCUGUAGUGGCUCUGUACUAUGGAACAAUUAUUGGACUGUACUUUUUCCCCUCAUCUAAUAACUCCAAUGACAAGGAUGUUAUUGUGGCCAUAUUGUACACUCUGAUCACUCCCAUGCUAAAUCCUUUUAUCUACAGUCUGAGAAAUCAGGAUAUGAAAGGAGCUCUGGGAAAUAUACUUAGUAGAGGAACAUUUUCAUAA